rnacentral:piRNA from 1 species
UACUGGAUGGUUUCAUGGUGUCUGUGA